UACAGAGGUCCCGAGCGUUGUUCGGAUUCACUGGGCGUAAAGGGUGCGUAGGUGGCGUGGUAAGUCACUUGUGAAAUCUCUGAGCUUAACUCAGAACGGCCAAGUGAUACUGCAGUGCUAGAGUGUGGAAGGGGCAAUCGGAAUUCUUGGUGUAGCGGUGAAAUGCGUAGAUAUCAAGAGGAACACCUGAGGUGAAGACGGGUUGCUGGGCCAACACUGACGCUGAGGCGCGAAAGCCAGGGGAGCAAACGGG
rnacentral:rRNA from 1 species